rnacentral:rRNA from 1 species
AACCCGUCUUGAAACACGGACAAAGNAGUUCAACAUGCGCGCCAGUCGUUGGGAACUAGAAAGCCCGCUGGCAAAGUGAAAGCAAGUCACAGUGUCACGCUGUGUAUUGGCGAGAUCCCGUCACCGUGGGUGUAAAAGCCUGCGGCCGGGCGCAUCGCCGGCCCAUCAUAAGCUCACGUGGCUGUGGUGGAGCUUGAGCGUGCACGUUGAGACCCGAAAGAUGGUGAACUAUGCCUGGGCAGGAUGAAGCCAGGGGAAACUCUGGUGGAGGUCCGUAGCGAUUCUGACGUGCAAAUCGAUCGUCUGACCUGGGUAUAGGGGCGAAAGACUAAUCGAACCAUCUAGUAGCUGGUUCCCUCCGAAGUUUCCCUCAGGAUAGCUGGCACUCGGAGAACGUAGUCUCUCCCGGUAAAGCGAAUGAUUAGAGGCCUUGGGGUAGAAACUACCUCAACCUAUUCUCAAACUUUAAAUGGGUGAGAAGUCCGGCUUGCUUAAANNNNNNNNNNAAGUCCGGACGUUGGAUACGAGCGGCUAGUGGGCCACUUUUUGGUAAGCAGAACUGGCGCUGUGGGAUGAACCGAACGCUGAGUUAUGGCGCCCGACGAGACGCUCAUCAGAUCCAAGAAAAGGUGUUGGUUGCUAUAGACAGCAGGACGGUGGCCAUGGAAGUUGGAACCCGCUAAGGAGAGAGUAACAACUCACCUGCCGAAGCAACUAGCCCUGAAAAUGGAUGGCGCUAGAGCGUCUGGCCUAUACUCGGCCGUUGCCGCAGCAUUUCUUCAAGUCAUGCAGCAACGAGUAGGAGGGUCGCGGCGGUGGCGUCAAAGGCUUACGGGCGUGAGCCUGGCUGGAACCGCCGUCGGUGCAGAUCUUGGUGGUAGUAGCAAAUACUCAAGCGAGAACCUUGAGGACUGAAGUGGAGAAGGGUUCUAUGUGAACAGCAGUUGAACAUGGGUCAGUCGAUCCUAAGGUAUCGGCGAAAGCCGUUCAGAAGCGGUGUGGAUAGUGCCUUCGGGUACUGGUUGGUGUUUGGGCGCAAGUCUUUGCAUUGAUCACCGCACCUACCGAAAGGGAAUCGGGUUAAUAUUCCCGAACCCGGCAUCGGAUACGCCAGUCUUCGGGCUGGCAAAUGCGGCAACGCAAAUGAACUCGGAAACGCUGACACGUGCCCUAGAAAGAGUUGUCUUUUCUUCAUAAGGCUCAGGCUCCCUGGAAUCGGAUCAUCCGGCGAUAGGGAGAUGGAGUCCGUAGAGCACCGCGGUUCUUGCGGUGUCUGGUGCGCACGUGUCGGUCCUUGAAACUCCGAGGGAGAGUGUGAUUUUCGUGCCAAAUCGUACCCAUAUCCGCAGCAGUCUCC